AGCGUCCACAUCCCAAGUUCAUCCCCAAACCCCUCCCCUCAAAAUAACUGAUGGAAAAACACUCCUCUUUCCAAACCAAAAAUCACCUCCUCUUUUGGAUAAAUGUGUUUUCCUAAAAUGUGGGAAGAAUUUGGUCACCAACUAAUUCAACGGACUCCAGGAUUCAAGGGUGAAGCCCCAGGAGAGACCCUUCAGCAAACUCCAAAAACUGCAAACCAGCUGACAGAGAAUCCCAGGCUGGAAGGUACUUCUUGAAGGCAGCACAAUAAAGAGCCUCUCGGGCACUGGUUCAGGAAUGUGGCUUCCCUCACUGCCAGUGAAAUCCUGCAACAGGUUUGGGAGGAGGCAAACAACAUCGGCCCAGGUGGAACAAAGCCUCCCUCACCUGGGCGCAGGGCCAGCAGAGUGGGGAAGUGAGGCCAGGGCAGCCUUGCACAGGGACUCGAAAAGGCUCUGCAAACCCUCCAGCUGUGGGGGGGUCCCACUUUGGGACAGCCAGCACCCCACCCUGCACUUGGGGGCAAAUGCCUGGCACAGUGCACACCCUCAUUUGGGGGCUCCCUGCAGGUCCAGCUAUGGACUCUGGCAACCUGUCUUUGCUUGAGGUUCCAAACUAGCAGAAGAGAACUCAGAGCCCUUCUCUCCAACCCUGAGGACCUGUUUCCUUUCCCACCAUCUCUAGCAGCAGCAGCGUGCUUACCCCAAGAUGAGCAAGCUCAACAGAGGACCCAGACAGACCACCGUCCGCACUUCUGGGCGUCACAUCCGUGUCGAGUGUCCGGGCUGUGUCUCGGCGCUACUGCCGACCCGGGUGUGAGGGGAACACUGUCGGUGCCCUGAAAAUAGCAGGAAUCACACUGCUGCCCUGCAAGCCUGCGGCUCUUAAUCUUCUUAAAAUGCUUCCUCUGAAAGUCACUUGCCAAGCAGCAGCUUCACAAAUACUAUGAGGCCCCCAGGGAACGUUUCCAGGGUCACCACUACCUAAGUGGCAGGGGGUUGAAAAUGAUGGCCGUGUGGUCUGGUCUGAAUGCAGGCAGGGAAGCUUCCUUUGCGCACACGUUCAAAUGUCCACAAUCUCAGAGUUAGCUGGAAGUGCCUUACUUCACAAGGCUGCUGCCCAUGAUUUAUCAAUUAGCGCGAACGGGACUGAAAUUCCAGAUUUUUAAGACAACCGACUCCUCCCUCCCCGCCACUCCAGAAGCCCCAGCAUUCUGCAGCCGCAAGGAUAUUCCCACCUGGGACCUACAGAGCUCCAGGCCACAGCCGCUGCCUCUCCCCACCUUUAAGUGGAUUCUGCAAAACCUCUUGAGCAUUCAAUAAACUCUUACUGUUUCUUUGAAUACAUAAUUCAGAUCCACUAGAAAACUGAGGAAAAGUAUUCAUUUUUAAAGGCGGCUAGGGUCACUCUUUUGGAUGCCCUGCCAUUUAAUACACCGCAUCAGGGUAAUACACCAAUCCUCCAGCUUUUUAUCGUCUUCCUUUUUCUCCUACUACAGGCGCAAAAUAUAAGAGCUGAAAGAUUCCCCCUUACCCUACCACUGAAGUGCAGAGCACACUCACAGAACGCCGGAAGAUCGACCUGGCUUUUCCCAGGAGCAGGCUUCGAUUCUGACAAUCAUUUGACCCCACAACUAUGGCUUCGAUCACUCAUUUUCUAAACCCUCAUCCCUUCCCAGGCCUCAGGCUAGGAGAUGCCCCCAAAACCAGGAGCGACCAGGCCCCUUUUGGCUGGAGUCAGAUGAGGAAACCGAUGGGGUUGGAUCGCUCAGUGCCCCCAU
ensembl:lncRNA